ACUGGAGAGGCGGACUCUUCAAUUUCAAAUUCACACACUACUCUCCCUCGCUAAAUUUUCAAAUCUCAAACAAGAUCCUCCAAAAUGGCUGCACCUCAGAAGCAAAACAGUGUAAGGAAUCAAGAAGCAAACACAAUGGCGGCUGCUAAAGGGCAAUUGAACAUGGGUCUCAGUCAAAUCUCUGAAGAUAGUCGUACAAUGGGCAUCAGAAAUUUUAAGGUGUACUCUGAGAAUGAAAGGGUUAAAGAUGAUACCAAAAAGAUAAGGAAUUCUGUAUCAGUUAAAAAGGGUGCUGCUCUUACUAGUACAAAUAUUAAGAAGGGCGUUGUUAACAAGGAGAAUGAAAAAGGCAAGUCUAGUACUUCUGCUAACACAAAAGUUGGAAGAAAAGCAUUGGUUGAUGUCAGCAACAUAUCGGGAAACAUUCCAAGAAAUGUAGUGCAUGAUGGUUCAAAGUCAUUGAAGAGCGUGAGAAGUGUACUCUUGCAACGGGUUUCCUUGGGUACUGUUACAAGGACUACAGAUGUCUCAUCAAGAAAGUCUUUCAUGGGAAAAGAAAGAAAAAGUGCAAGUCAAGGUGCUGUUGCAGUGCAACAUUCAAAGAAAGGUAGCAAAGAUAAAGCAUCUUCUUCAGAUGAUCAGCGGACCAAGGCCAAAGGUAGAGGGCGUGUAUCUGUAGCCAUUCCCAGCAGGACUUUCAGGAAUCCUCCUAUACCAACAAGGAAGUCUUUACCAGUGCUAAAGAGGGUGAUCCAGGAAGAUACAAGUACUUCAAAGCCAAUUGUGAAGAUGACAUUCAUUGGUUCCAAUGCUAAAGGGACUUCAAAAUCCAAGCAUUUGUCAAACCUGAAUAAGUUGAAAACUGUUGCUGCAUCUAAGAAAAAAGAGGAAGACGUGAGAUCUUCUCUAUCAGAGAAUUUUGCAUCAGUAGUUUCACGUGAAACAACUCAAGGAAAGCCUUUAAUUGCUGGCAAUACCAAUCCAAGCUCAGAUUCAUCAGAUUUCAUUGCCAAGAAAAAAUCUGAUCGGAGGAGAUCUUACACAUCUUUAUUGAUGGCAAGAUCAAAGUUUAUAGAGGACCAAGGUGACAUCAAGGAGCAAGAAAAGCUACCAAGAAUUUAUGAUGACUGCAAUCAACUGGAAGUUGCUGAAUAUGUUGAUGAAAUCUACCAAUAUUAUUGGGUUAUAGAGGCACAGAAUCCACCUCCAGAAAAUUAUAUGUCAAUCCAAACAGAUAUUACACCUCAGAUGCGGGGCAUUUUAAUCAACUGGCUAAUUGAAGUACACUUCAAAUUUGAAUUAAUGCCAGAAACACUUUAUCUCAUGGUCACAUUGUUAGACCGGUAUCUUUCUCAAGCAAAAAUUAAGAAGAAUGAAAUGCAACUGGUUGGUCUUACUGCACUUUUGCUGGCAUCAAAAUACGAGGACUUCUGGCAUCCUAGGAUCAAAGACUUAAUUAGCAUCUCAGCUGAAGCUUACACAAGAGGCCAGAUGCUUGGGCUGGAAAAGCUUAUGCUAAAGACAUUGAAGUUCCGUCUAAAUUUGCCUACUCCAUAUGUCUUCAUCUUAAGAUUUCUCAAGGCUGCUCAGUCUGACACUAAGCUCGAACAUCUGGCUUUCUACCUCAUUGAGUUGACCUUGGUAGAAUAUGAAGCCUUGAGGUUCAAGUCGUCAUUGUUAUGUGCAUCCACUAUCUAUGUUGCUAGAUGUACGCUGCAAAUGAAUCCGGUCUGGACCUCCUUACUUGUCAAGCAUGCACGAUAUGACACGCCCCAAAUCAGGGAUUGUGCAGAGAUGAUUUUGAAAUUCCACAAAGAUGCUAAAAAAGGGCACCUGAAGGUCACUUAUGAGAAGUAUAUGAGGCCUGCUCUCAGUUGUGUUGCUGCAAUUAAACCCUUAGAUAGACUUCCUCUUUGAUUUCUCUUGAUUGGACAUGUUUUUUACCUCUGUAAAUAUUGUUACAGUACUGAAGGAAAUUAAUUUGUGCCAGGAAAGGCUUUGUGCUAGGUUAUACCAUCAUUGGUCACAACUCAAUUUGCUUUUAAUCAUACUGAGUGAUGACAUUUUCCUAGUUGUUUGCUUACUGGUGUUGUUCUUGAUGUAGUUUUCUUCUUGUUUGCGCCAGUGUGUACUUACAUCGUAAUCAGGCACCAUGGCUUAUGGUGCCUGUUUCUAACAAACAUAUUCAUGAAUGUAAGGGAGCUAAUGACUUUUUUUGGAUAACUCAAUUAUAGUUUAUAUGAGUAUUUUUAAAUCUAA